rnacentral:tRNA from 1 species
UGAUCUAUGGUGUAAUGGUAGCACAUCGGGCGUUGGACCCGAUAGUUUGGGUUCGAAUCCUUAUAGAUCAA